rnacentral:rRNA from 1 species
GUGAGGAAUAUUGCACAAUGGGCGCAAGCCUGAUGCAGCGACGCCGCGUGGGUGAUGAAGGCUUUCGGGUCGUAAAACCCUUUUCUGCGUGACGAGAGAGGACGGUAGCGCAGGAAUAAGCCUCGGCUAACUACGUGCCAGCAGCCGCGGUAAAACGUAGGAGGCGAGCGUUAUCCGGAGUUACUGGGCGUAAAGCGCGUGUAGGUGGUUGGAUACGUCUGCUGUGAAAUGUCCCGGCUUAACCGGGAGGGUGCGGCAGAUACGGUCUGACUUGAGGGUGACAGAGGAGCGUAGAAUUCCGGGUGUAGUGGUGAAAUGCGUAGAGAUCCGGAGGAAUACCAGUGGCGCAAGCGGCGCUCUGGGUCACAUCUGACACUGAGACGCGAAGGCAUGGGGAGCGAACGGGAUUAGAUACCCGUGUAGUCC